GUCAAACAUAGGAAUGGUGGAUGUAACAAGGACCACAUCAAGUUUAUUCGUUGCUCCAAUUUGUGGAAAAUGUUUCCCUAAUAUAGAGCAAUCAAAGCAGAGGACAAAGAGCAUGAAGAUUUCUUGAGGAUGAUAAUUUAAGAUAUACGUUCAAAGACUUUGAUGUAGCACUCUCCCAUGUUGAAAAUUGUGAAUGGAAGGCUUAGACAUCCAACAUUUGUGAUGCUUCAUUUGAUUGGAGUUACAGUGAAAUUUGUAGAUCUGGAAGAAUAAAAGAGAUGCAUAUGAUGUGUGAUCAAUGUUAUUCUACAAUAUUUUUUAUUAUACU